rnacentral:rRNA from 1 species
UUGGGGGUAGAGCACUGUUUCGGCUAGGGGGUCAUCCCGACUUACCAAACCGAUGCAAACUCCGAAUACCGAUGAGUGAUAUCCGGGAGACAGACGGCGGGUGCUAACGUCCGUCGUCAAGAGGGAAACAACCCAGACCGCCAGCUAAGGCCCCAAAUUCCUAGUUAAGUGGGAAACGAUGUGGGAAGGCACAGACAGCUAGGAGGUUGGCUUAGAAGCAGCCAUCCUUUAAAGAAAGCGUAAUAGCUCACUAGUCGAGUCGGCCUGCGCGGAAGAUGUAACGGGGCUCAAACUAGGAGCCGAAGCUGCGGAUUUAAUUGUUUCAAUUAAGUGGUAGGGGAGCAUUGUGUAAGCCUGUGAAGGUGUGUUGUAAAGCAUGCUGGAGGUAUCACAAGAGCGAAUGCUGACGUGAGUAACGACAAUGCGAGUGAAAAGCUCGCACGCCGGAAGACCAAGGGUUCCAGUCCAACGUUAAUCGGGGCUGGGUGAGUCGACCCCUAAGGCGAGGCCGAAAGGCGUAGUCGAUGGGAAAUCGGUUAAUAUUCCGAUACUUGUUUAUGAUGCGAUGGAGGGACGGAGAAGGUUAUGCCAGCUUGGCGAUGGUUGUCCAAGUGGAAGGAUGUAGUUAGGUUUAGUAGGCAAAUCCGCUAGACUAUUAAUGAGAUCUGAUAGCAAGCUGUACUUGUACAGCGAAGUGGCAAAUACCCUGCUUCCAGGAAAAGCUUCUAAGCGAUAGUCAUAAAGA